rnacentral:tmRNA from 1 species
CUGCUUGACGCCGUCCGAAAGAUGCGCUAUCUUUCGGACACUCCGGAAACGGAGGUAUGGACGUAAUUCGGGCAACUGGAUUGUAUGCAGGACGCGGGGGCGGAACCCGCCGCCUCCACCAUAACCGCAGCGCACGGUAGCUCCGUGGGUAUGCACGCCGGGAGGCUCGGGGAACCCGUCUCCUUCCAGUCUUGCAACUGGAACCAAGGCUGCGGUUUUGAUGGGGGCGAAAUAGGAUCGACUGCUGCGAAGAAGGAAGAACGCGUCUCGGCUAGGUACACCGUUAUCGUCCACAACUGUAACUGUCGCAGAUAACGACAACCACUUCGAGGCCCGCGCUCUCGCAGCGUAGUCCUCGUGGGGCCUCACCGGCCUCGCAACAGAAUGGUGAAGA